rnacentral:lncRNA from 1 species
CAAAUAUCAUCACAAUGGGGAUUAGGCUUCAGAAUUCACAUAGGAAUCUUGGUGGGACAUAAACAUUCAGUAUAAAGCAACUGAUGAGAAGAAUUAUUGAUUCUUUUACAAUUAUUGAUUCAUUUGGGCUUCCCAAGUGGCGCCAAUGGAAAAAGUCCCGCUUCAGUAGCACACUUCUCUGUCUACUAAAGGACACUGUCAAAGCAAGGAACACGACCACCAAAGUGAUACUACUGGGGAGGGUGUCCUGCCCUCUGUAA